CCCAUUUGACCCGUCUUGAAACACGGACCAAGGAGUUUAAGGUGUGCGCGAGUGACUGGGCGCGAAACCCAAGAGCGUAAUGAAAGUGGGACACUGUGUGUCUGGGAUGCGACCCUCGCGUGACUCGUUGCGUGUGGGGCAGCAUCGACCCAUGACUGGAACAUGUUCCGUUGUGGAGUCCGAGCGCACGCUUUGAGACCCGAAAGAUGGUGAACUAUGCCUGAGCAGGACGAAGUC
rnacentral:rRNA from 1 species